rfam:[Clostridium] cellulosi genome assembly, chromosome: I
GCACCUCUAGCUCAGUUGGUAGAGCAACUGACUCUUAAUCAGUGGGUCCAGGGUUCGAGUCCCUGGAGGUGCA